UAAUACGUAGGGUGCGAGCGUUGUCCGGAAUUAUUGGGCGUAAAGAGCUCGUAGGCGGUUUGUCGCGUCGACUGUGAAAACCCGAGGCUUAACCUCGGGCCUGCAGUCGAUACGGGCAGACUAGAGUUCGGUAGGGGAGACUGGAAUUCCUGGUGUAGCGGUGAAAUGCGCAGAUAUCAGGAGGAACACCGGUGGCGAAGGCGGGUCUCUGGGCCGAUACUGACGCUGAGGAGCGAAAGCGUGGGGAGCGAACAGGAUUAGAUACCCUGGUAGUCCACGCCGUAAACGUUGGGCGCUAGGUGUGGGGGUCUUUCCACGAUCUCCGUGCCGCAGCUAACGCAUUAAGCGCCCCGCCUGGGGAGUACGGCCGCAAGGCUA
rnacentral:rRNA from 1 species